rnacentral:rRNA from 1 species
ACGAGCUUGCGUGGCAUUAGCUGGAUGGUAGGGUAACGGCCUACCAAGGCUACGAUGACUAGGGGGUCUGAGAGGAUGAUCCCCCACACUGGUACUGAGACACGGACCAGACUCCUACGGGAGGCAGCAGUAAGGAAUAUUGGUCAAUGGGCGAGAGCCUGAACCAGCCAAGUCGCGUGAAGGAAGAAGGUUCUAUGGAUUGUAAACUUCUUUUGUACGGGAAUAACCCUCCGAACGUGUUCGGAGCUGAAGGUACCGUAAGAAUAAGGAUCGGCUAACUCCGUGCCAGCAGCCGCGGUAAUACGGAGGAUCCAAGCGUUAUCCGGAUUUACUGGGUUUAAAGGGUGCGUAGGCGGAUUGAUAAGUCAGUGGUGAAAGCCUGCAGCUUAACUGCAGAACUGCCAUUGAUACUGCCAGUCUGGAGUAUGGUUGAGGUAGCUGGAAUGUGUCAUGUAGCGGUGAAAUGCUUAGAGAUGACACAGAACACCGACGGCGAAGGCAGGUUACCAACCCAUUACUGACGCUGAGGCACGAAAGCGUGGGGAUCAAACAGGAUUAGAUACCCUGGUAGUCCACGCCGUAAACUAUGAUUACUAGUUGUUGGGGGUACAUUGCCAGUGACUGAGCGAAAGCAUUAAGUAAUCCACCUGGGGAGUACGUUCGCAAGAAUGAAACUCAAAGGAAUUGACGGGGGCCCGCACAAGCGGUGGAGUAUGUGGUUUAAUUCGACGCAACGCGAAGAACCUUACCAAGGCUUGACAUCCCGUGACAGCUAUGGAAACAUAGAAGCCAGCAAUGGCCGUAUACGAGGUGCUGCAUGGUUGUCGUCAGCUCGUGCCGUGAGGUGUUAGGUUAAGUCCUGCAACGAGCGCAACCCUUGUCGUUAGUUACCAUCAAGUAAUGUUGGGGACUCUAGCGAGACUGCCACCGUAAGGUGUGAGGAAGGGGGGGAUGACGUCAAAUCAGCACGGCCCUUACGUCCGGGGCGACACACGUGUUACAAUGGUAGGUACAGAGGGCAGCUACCCAGCGAUGGGAUGCGAAUCUCUAAAGUCGGUCCCAGUUCGGAUCGGAGUCUGCAACUCGACUCCGUGAAGUUGGAUUCGCUAGUAAUC